rnacentral:tRNA from 1 species
GGAAAUAUAGCUCAGCCGGGAGAGCGUCCGCCUGACGCGCGGGAGGUCAUGGGUUCGAGCCCCAUUGUUUCCA